rnacentral:lncRNA from 1 species
GCAUUUUUAGUGCACGUAUGUCCUGGUUGGCGCCUUGGCUGGUUGAGUAGGGUGUUGGGUCGACCUCUGGUUGAGCUGCUGAAUUGCUGGCCGCAACAUUCCCUCCCCCUUGAAAAGGUUUCGACCUCGAAACUGUAUAACCUGCACCAAGAUAGAGCAAGUCAGCUUUCAUACUCUUUUGAGAUUCUAAGGUCUUACCUUGAUAUUGUUUUGGUUUGGUGAUGGAUUGUUCAUCAGGUGGCUCUUCUUUCAGCAAAUAGGAUAGGAUCACGCCUCUGCUAUGGACUUUUGCAUUGCUUCUCUUCUUCAGUGGAUGGUCCUUCAUACUCCUAGCAGGCUCAGCUCUGACCAUCUUUGGGUUUGAUCCUCCUAGCAACAAAAGAUUAUCCCGUGGGAUUUCUUCGAAGCUUUCUUCUUUGCAACCUGAAAUUUUUUUAACAUUCUGGACAAAGACCAAGUGAAUUAUAUCUGAUACUGGAAUUUCAUGAACAGAAUUUGUUAUGGUCGAAUUUACCUUGGGUGCAUCAGCAUGAUGAAGAAUGAUAUUCUUCUUUGGACAGAUUUGGUUAGAUGGCUGCCUUUCUUGCAAAUGUUUACCUUGGUUGGUAUAACCAUCUUCUUGUGAUAGCUCAGCUCGGUUUUUAUGUUCUUCUUGACUUAUCCCUGGAUCAAAACAUCUUGGCAAAGACAAGUGUAUUAUACCAAAGUAUAGGGAUUUAUAAACUGAAGAAAACAUAGAACAAUUAACCUUAAUGUCAAAUGUGGCAGUAAGAACUUCUUGUUCUUUGUUUGCCUUGUAGUAACCUUGCUUUCCUGUACCAAUUUCACUUUUCCUUGGACAAGACAAGUGCAUUAAUCUUGUCAUAGAAUCAAUAAAAACAUUCUGGUUUAAAGUGAAUUUUACCUCAGAUUUUGGCACUUGAACAGUACAUUGUUCAGAUUUCGGUUUCCACUUAUGGUGUGGAUUUUGAUUGAGCUCAUGAUCUGGUUCGGCACUUGGAACUCCAGUAAGCAUAUGGCUCUCAUCUGGUAUCCCUGUACCAAGAAUAUAAAUGUUUAAACCAGUAUCUAAAGGUGGUGUUAGACACUUACCUUGGUUUGAUACUUGGAUCACUGGUUUUGGUUUAUUAAGCAACUUUGAUUGCUUUGUGCUUUGAGCUUCCUUCUGGUCCAUUGGAAGGUUUGUGCCUGGCGCCUCUUCUUCUAUGUACCUAGGCUCAUUUAGACCUGUAAUAACACUCUUGGACAAAGACAAGUGCAUCAUACAAGUGGUAGAUGAUUUAUGAAAAGAUUUAUCAUGUAUAGGACUUACCUUAGCCUUUACUUGGACAAUAACUUGCUCUGGUUUGUCUUUGGACCUGAUCAAAGUGUUUUGGCCGACACUUGUACUCAUCUUCCUGACCUUUGGGAUGUCACUCUCCUGCUCUAAGCAGUGGACAAUGGCGUGCCCCUGGUUUGGCUGAAAGUUGGCUUCUUUAGGCAAGACUCUUUGAACUUCUUGUUCCACAAUUUUCCUUGCUUCUUUGGAACCAUGAGUUGGAUAUCUCCUUGGAUAUAGUUCCUGGAUUUCAGACCUUGUAUAAUCUGGUGCAAAUCUAUCCCUCAUGACUUCCUUAAGAGCUCUCCACGUUUUGAUAGCUGGAUCCUUGUAAAACCAUCUAUCAUCCUCUUCUUGUACCCACCAUUUAAAAGCAUCAUCUUUUAGUUGAUCAAUGGCAUAAGCUAGCCUCUCUUUCCUCAGGAUGUUGUUGUAGUGAAACCAUUCAUCAAGGUUCCUCUCCCAUCUUAGAUAACCUCUUUUUCCUGAAAAUUUAAAGAGUUCAACUUUAUCAGCAAAAGAGUUAUAAUCAAACCGAGAAUUAACAACAUAAGGGUUGUGGGUUUUAGAAGUUGGAGUUUGAUUGAUCCUUGAAGGAUCUGGUGGCUUGGGCUCGACGUAUACUGGCCCUGGUACAUUUCCAAAUCUCCUUUCUCCUUCAUGUGGACGUUGGCCUUGUGCCUGAUUUAUUUUCUCCAAUUGAGCAAUCUUAAUUUGGAGCUUUUGUAGAGCUGCGGACUGUUGGCUCAAGGUGGCCCUUAGGUUUUGGCCGUGUCUCUCCACCUCCAUUGCUUCCUGAAAACAAUCUCAAAGAAAAAGUGAAGGUAUGGAAAGUUUUGGUCUAACCAAAAUAAAACAAAUGCAAUUUAACUAAACCGAGAAAAUAUGCAAUUAUGAACCGAAAUGAAGUAACUAUACUAAAAUGAUUUUUCUUUUGGUUUUCUGAAUGAAAUUUCGAAAUUAAACAAUAUGGUAUGAAAAGAAACAAAAAUGGUAUGACUUUUUAUUUAUUUUUUUUUAAGCAAGAAACAACUAUGAAAAUGCAGAUCUUUUUUUUUUUUUUUUGAAAUGAAUGCACAAAAUCAAAAAAUGGAAAGUGGAGCUGGGGAAUGAAUGCAAACACGUUUUUCUUUUCUUUUUAUGGAUGAAAUGAAUCAAACCAGACAACAGGUCGUCUCCUAUCUCAACUUUUUAUGGCUUUUCAAUUUAUGAUGAACAAAGAACACAAAAAUGCAAAAACAGUUUUUUUUUUUUUUUUGAUUUAUAAAUGGAAAAGCAAAUGCAAACAAGAUGAAUGAUGCAAGGAUAGAAUGGACCUGAUUCAGGAGCUUAAGCUCUGAUACCAAAUGUUGUAGGCUGAGAUUCAGGGUGGGCAAGAUGGAUGAUGGAAGCUUGGAUGGGUCGACCAAAGAGAUGAUCGGAUGGGCGAUAUGAUGGAAUGCAAGUUAUGAACCUGAAAACAAAUGCAAAAUCAAAUGAGAUAUGAUUUCUAAUAUGAUAAAACAAGAUAAAUAAAGAUAGAUAGGAUGGAAUCAAGCUGCUGGUUGUGUAACACUCUCAGCUUGAUCAAAAGAUGAUUGAAGUGGAUUGAGAUGGUGCUUUGCUUGCUGGACUGAUGUCUCUCUCAAGCUUGGCAAACGAAUUGGAGUGGAAGGAUGGGGGAUUGAGGACGCCACAAGACUCUAUGGAAAGGAGCCUUGAUAAGUCAAGGUGCUUUGGAGCUGCUUCACACAAACUCAAAAGACUUAGAACAAUAGUUUUAAGAAAACUAGAAAACUGAAUAAUUCUUAUUACUUUCAAAAAUGGGUGAUUUACAAUGAAACAAAGACUAGAGCUUUAUAGGCUCGACCAAGGACUCUCUAACAGUCAUAAAAUGACAUAAGGAAAGAAAUAAAAAUCGAAAUAAUAAACUUGGAAGCAAAGGAAUUGAUGGCUCCUUGAAAACUAGCCGUUGGAGGCUUAAUGAUGAGAAUCUUGUGAAGACUUGUAUCUUGAUAGCUUCUGGACGUGGCCAUGAUCUUCAAGCCUUCCUGAAAUACUCCUUGGCCUCAGUAAAAGAGAAUAUGGCCGUUGGUCUUGGGCAAAAAUCUGUAGAAACUUCUCCAAAGCAUUUAGUGUAGAUGUUGCCAAAUAUGGAAGGUUGAUGGGAAGAGAGAUCCGCCUGAUCUCCUGGGUGCUGGUCCAGCUGAGGACGUCUUGGAUGUCUUCUGAAUGGUCUAGAGUAUCUCCUGGUUCCCAUAGAUAGCCCUGGGUCGAACCAAGUUGAAUUGGUUGAAGACUUUCCUUAAAUGAUGUCGGUUUGGCCAAUUGAUGCAAACCGGCUUGAUCUUUUGGUUUGAUUGGGAUCCGCCUGAUCCAGUGUGGCAUGGUGCUUCCUAUGAUGUUGUAGAGUGCCUCUGAAUGACUUAGAAGGUCUCCUGGUUGCCAUUCUUGAGGUUGGUUCAAUGUGAAACCCGGAUCUUCCAAAUAAGGCAAGUGUAGAGCUGGUUUGGCCGGUUUUGGGAAAUUGAUCAUAUCUUCCAAUUUCCUUGACCAUUUCUCGAGAUCUUGGGCUUUCUGGAAAGAUAAUAAACUCCUCUUGAUUCCUAUGAUCGGUUUUGGUUCAGGCCGCUUCUUCUUUGGGCUUGAAUCCUCUUCUAAAGUCGCAUACUCGCAGAUGGACGGGCUGAGAAACCUCUGAAUUGUAAAAUUCAUAACUUCUUGCUCCGUGAAUAUUUUGGGCAGAUUCCAAUUUUCCUGGACUCCCUCUUGAGUGUAGAAUCCAUAAAAAUUAUCCUCGUGAUUUAAACCCUCCUGGUUUGUAAGAUAUGGCAUUUUUAGUGCACGUAUGUCCUGGUUGGCGCCUUGGCUGGUUGAGUAGGGUGUUGGGUCGACCUCUGGUUGAGCUGCUGAAUUGCUGGCCGCAACAGUGGGUGUCCGCCAGAACACACAGGACGUCUGUGGCAGUCCGUGUGUGUCCAUUUGUGUCCGUCAGUGUCCGUCAGCACACACAGGAUGUCCGUGGCUGUCCAUCAGUACACAUAUCAGCACGCUGGUUCUUGGACUCAGCACGCUGGCCUUCCCGUGGACUGUUCGGGUGAUUUUUGCCCACGUGGGCUGUUUGUUCAGUACACACAGGAUGUCCGUGGGUGUCUGCCCGCACACAUAGGACGUCUGUGGCUGUCCGCCAGCACACACAAGACGUCUGUGGCUGUCCGUGUGUGUCCGUGUUUGUCGUGUGUGUCCGUCAGCACACAUAGGACGUCCGUGGGUGUCCGUCAGCACACACAGAACGUCCGUGUGUGUCCGUCAGCACACACAGAACGUCCGUGUGUGUCUGUCAGCACACACAGGACGUCCGUGUGUGUCCGUCAGCACACACAGGAUGUCUGUGCCUGUCCGUGUGUGUCCGUCAGCACACACAGGAUAUUCGUGGCUGUCCAUCAGUACACAUACCAGCACGUUGGGCCUUAGACUCAGCACGCUGGCCCUCCCCGUGGACUGUUUGGGUGAUUUUGGCCCACGUGGGCUGUCUAUUCAGUACACACAGGACGGCCGUGGGUGUCCGUCAGCACACACAGGAUGUCCGUGGGUGUCCGUCAGCACACACAGGACGUCCGUGGGUGUCCGUCAGCACUCAAAGGACGUCUGUGGGUGUCCGUCAGCACACACAGGACGUCUGUGGGUGUCCGUCAGCACACACAGGACGUCUGUGUGUGUCCGUCAGCACACACAAGACGUCUGUGGCUGUCCAUCAGUACACAUGUCAGCACGUUGGUCCUUGGACUCAGUACGCUGACCCUUCCCGUGGACUGUUCGGGUGAUUUUGGCCCAGGUGGGCUGUCUGUUCAGUACGCACAGGACGUCCGUGUGUGUCUGUCAGCACACACAAGAUGUCUGUGGCUGUCCGUGUGUGUUCGUGUGUGUCCGUCAGCACACACAGGACGUCUGUCGCUGUCCAUAAGUACACAUAUCAGCACGUUGGUCCUUGGACUCAGCACGCUGACUCUUCCCGUGGACUGAUUUUGGCCCACUUGGGCUGUCUGUUCAGUACACAUAGGAAGUCUGUGGGUGUCCGCCAGUGUUACAGGCUGGAAAUCAGGGUGGGUAAGAUGGAUGAUGGAAGCUUGGAUGGGUCGACCAAAGAGAUGAUCGGAUGGGCGAUAUGAUGGAAUGCAAGUUAUGAACCUGAAAACAAAUGCAAAAAUAAAUGAGAUAUGAUUUUUCUAAUAUGAUAAAACAAGAUAAAUAAAGAUAGAUAGGAUGGAAUUAGGCUGCUGGUCUGGAGACACUCUCAGCCUAAUCAGAUGAUGAUUGAAGUGGAUUGAGAUGGUGCUUUGCUUGCUGGACUGAUGUCUCUCUCAAGCUUGGCAAACGAAUUGGAAUGGAAGGAUGGGGGAUUGAGGACGCCACAAGACUCUAUGGAAAGGAGCCUUGAUAAGUCAAGAUGCUUUGGAGCUGCUUCACACAAACUCAAAAGACUUAGAACAAUAGUUUUUAAGAAAACUAGAAAACUGAAUAAUUCUUAUUACUUUCAAAAUGGGGUGAUUUACAAUGAAGCAAAGACUAGAGCUUUAUAGGCUCGACAAGGACAGACUCUAACAGUCAUAAAAUGAUAAAAGGAAACAAAAUAACUUGAACUUAAAGUCUUGGGAGCAAAGACUUUGAUGACUCCAUGGAAUAUAGCCGUUAGACUUGAUUUGCUUCCUUCCAAAAGAGAAACUUGUGAAGACUUGUAUCUUGAUAGCUUCUGGACGUGGCCAUGAUCUUCAAGCGUUCCUGAAAUACUCCUUGGCCUCAGUAAAAGAGAAUAUGGCCGUUGGUUUUGGGCAAAAAUUUGUAGAAAUUCCUCCAAAGCAUUUAGUGUAGAUGUUGCCAAAUAUGGAAGGUUGAUGGGAAGAGAGAUCCGCCUGAUCUCCUGGGUGCUGGUGCAGCUGAGGACGUCUUGGAUGUCUUCUUAAUGGUCUAGAGUAUCUCCUGGUUCCCAUAGAUAGCCCUGGGUCGAACCAAGUUGAAUUGGUUGAAGACUUUCCUUAAUUGAUGUCGGUUUGGCCAAUUGAUGCAAACCGGCUUGAUCUUUUGGUUUGAUUAGGAUCCGCCUGAUCCAGUGUGGCAUGGUGCUUCCUACGAUGUUGUGGGGUGCCUCUGAAUGACUUAGAAGGUCUCCUGGUUGCCAUUCUUGAGGGUGGUUUGAUGUGAAACCCGGAUCUUGCAAAUAAGGCAAGUGUAGAGCUGGUUUGGCCGGUUUUGGGAAAUUGAUCAUAUCUUCCAAUUUCCUUGGCCAUUUAUCGAGAUCUUCGGCUUUCUGGAAAGCUAAUAAACUCCUCUUGACUCCUAUGAUCGGUUUUGGUUCAGGACGCUUCUUCUUUGGGCUUGAAUUCUCUUCUAAAGUCGCAUACUCGCAGAUGGACGGGUUGAGAAACCUCUGAAUUGUAAAAUUCAUAACUUUUUGCUCCUUGAAUAUUUUGGCCCAAUUCUAAUUGGCCUGGACUCCUCCUUGAGUGUAGAAUCCAUAACAAUUAUCCUUGUGAUUUACACCCUCCUGGUUUGUAAGAUAUGGCAUGUUUAGUGCACAUAUGUCCUGGCUGGCGCCUUGGCUGGUUGAGUAGGGUGUUGGGUCGACCUCUGGUUCAGCUGCUGAAUUGCUGGCCGCAACAUUCCCUCCCCCUUGAAAAGGUUUCGACCUCGAAACUGUAUAACCUGCACCAAGAUAGAGCAAGUCAGCUUUCAUACUCUUUUGGGAUUCUAAGGUCUUACCUUGAUAUUGUUUUUGUUUGGGGAUGGAUUGUGCAUCAGGUGGCUCUUCUUUCAGCAAAUAGGAUAGGAUCACGCCUUUGCUGUGGACUUUGGCAUUGCUUCUCUUCUUCAGUGGAUGGUCCUUCAUACUCUUAGUAGGCUCAGUCCUGACCAUCUUUGGGUUUGAUCCUCCUAGCAACAAAAGAUUAUCCGGUGGGAUUUCCUUGAAGCUUUCUCCUUUGCAACCUGAAAAAUUCUCAACAUUCUGGACAAAGAACAAGUGAAUUAUAUCUGAUACUGGAGUUUUAUGAACAUAAUAUGUUAUGGCCGGAUUUACCUUGGGUGCAUCAGCAUGAUGAAGAAUGAUAUUCUUCUUUGGAGAUAUUUGGUUAGAUGGCUGCCUUUCUUGCAACUGUUUACCUUGGUCGGUAUGACCAUCUUUUUGUGAUAGCUCAGCUCGGUUUUUAUGUUCUUCUUGACUUAUCCCUGGAUCAAAACAUCUUGGCAAAGACAAGUGUAUUAUACCAACGUAUAGGGAUUUAUAAACUGAAGAAAACAUAGAACAAUUAACCUUUUAUUCAGCUGUGGCAGUAAGAACUUCUUGUUCUUUAUUUGCCUUGUACUCACCUUGAUUUCCUGUACCAAUUUCACUUUUCCUUGGACAAGACAAGUGAAUUAAUCUUGUCAUGGAAUUAAUAAUAGCAUUCUGAUCUAGGGUGGAAUUUACCUCAGAUUUUGGUACUUGAACAACACUUUGUUCAGUUUUCGGUUUCCACUUGUGGUGUGGAUUUUGAUUGAGCUCAUGUACUGAUUUGGCCUUUGGAACUGCAGUAAGGAUAUGGCCCUCAUCUAGUAUACCUGUACCAAGAAUAUAAACGUUUAGGCCAGUAUCUAAAGGUGGUGUUAGAUACUUACCUUGGUUUGACACUUUGGUUACUGGUUUUGCUUCUUUAAGCAACUUGGAUUGCUUGUCCUUCUGAUCCAUUAGAAGGUUUGCUCUUGGUGUGUCAUCUCCGUGGGAUAUAGGCUCUUUAAUACCUGUAAUAACACUCUUGGACAAAGACAAGUGCAUCAUACAAGUGGUAGAUGAUUCAUGAAAAGAUUUAACAAGUAUAGGACUUACCUUGGCCUUUACUUGGACAAUAGCUUGCUCUGGUUUGUCUUUGGACCUGAUCAAAGUAUUUUGGCCGACACUUGUACUCAUCUUCCUGACCUUUGGGAUGUCAUUCUUCUGGUUUAACCAAUGGAUAAUGGUGUGCCCCUGCUUUGGCUGAAAGUUAUCUUGUUGAGACAAGACUCUUUGACCUUCUUGUGCCACUAAUCUUCUUGCUUCUUUGGAACCAUGAGUUGGGUACCUCCUUGGAUAUAGUUCUUGGAUUUCAGAACUUGUAAAAUCUGGUGCAAAUCUAUCCCUCAUGACUUCCUUAAGAGCUCUCCACGUUUUGAUAGUUGGCUCCUUGUAAAGCCGCCUAUCAUCUUCUUCUUGUACCCACCAUUUCAAGGCUUCUUCUCUAAGUUGAUCAAUAGCAUAAGCUAGCCUCUCUUUCCUCAGGAUGUUGUUGAAGUGAAACCAUUCAUCAAGGUUCCUCUCCCAUCUUAGAUAACCUCUUUUCCCUGAAAAUUUAAAGAGUUCAAUUUUAUCAGCAAAAGAUUUAUAAUCAAACCGAGAAUUAACAACAUAAGGGUUGUGGGUUUUAGAAGUUGGAGUUUGAUUGAUCCUUGAAGGAUCUGGUGGCUUGGGCUCGACAUAUACAGCCCCUGGUACAUCUCCAGAUCUCCUUUCUCCUUCAUGUGGACGUUGGCCUUGUGCCUAAUUUCUUUUCUCUAACUGAGCAAUCUUAAGUUGGAGCUUUUGUAGAGCUGCGGACUGUUGGCUCAAGGUGGCCCUUAGGUUUUGGCCGUGUAUCUCCUCCUCC